rnacentral:rRNA from 1 species
GACGAACGCUGGCGGCGUGCUUAACACAUGCAAGUCGAACGGAAAGGCCCUGCUUUUGUGGGGUGCUCGAGUGGCGAACGGGUGAGUAACACGUGAGUAACCUUCCCUUGACUUUGGGAUAACUUCAGGAAACUGGGGCUAAUACCGGAUAUGAGCUCCUGCUGCAUGGUGGGGGUUGGAAAGUUUCGUCGGUUGGGGAUGGACUCGCGGCUUAUCAGCUUGUUGGUGGGGUAGUGGCUUACCAAGGCUUUGACGGGUAGCCGGCCUGAGAGGGUGACCGGCCACAUUGGGACUGAGAUACGGACCAGACUCCUACGGGAGGCAGCAGGGGGGAAUAUUGCACAAUGGGCGGAAGCCUGAUGCAGAAACGCCGCGUGCGGGAUGACGGCCUUCGGGUUGUAAACCGCUUUCGCCUGUGACGAAGCGUGAGUGACGGUAAUGGGUAAAGAAGCACCGGCUAACUACGUG